AUAGCCAUACCACAUUGAAAACACCGGUUCUCAUCCGAUCACUGAAGUUAAGCAAUGUCGGGCCAGGUCAGUACUUGGGAGAGUGACUUCCUACGAACAACUGGGUGCUGUAGGCU